rnacentral:rRNA from 1 species
GUGGUGCCCCCGUGCACUGCGCACACGUGUGAACCCCAAAGGCGUAGACAACUCGAACAAGUCUGGGGAUUACGGGCUCGGCACUGGCGCAAGCCUUCGUCGGGCCCCUCCAUCCCGGGGUGUCCCACCAAGCGGGUCUCCGGGCCCGCUGUGGGCAUCCCUCGAGUGCGUAGGAUGCGACCCGAAAGAUGGUGAACUAUGCCUGAUCAGGCCGAAGUCAGGGGAAACCCUGAUGGAGGGCCGAAGCAAUUCUGACGUGCAAAUCGAUUGUCAGAGUUGGGCAUAGGGGCGAAAGACCAAUC